rnacentral:tRNA from 1 species
GUAGACAGUGAAGUAAGAAAUACACUUAGUUUCGACCUAAGAUUUAGAGAUUUAUUCUCCAUGUCUAUU